rnacentral:lncRNA from 1 species
GCAGGUGCGAGGUUCGCUGGGAGAGUCAAUCCCAAGGUUAAAAGGGACCGCAUGCUCCCUAGGCAAACGUCCAAUAAGACAAAGGAGGCCCAGAGAAUGUUAGCACCAGGGACAGGGAAUGUCAGCACCAGGGACAGAGAAUGUCAGUGCCCUCGGCCCAAGGGCCAAAAUAAAAUAGUAGGCCCUACUGUAAGUUGUAAUAGUAGCAGUAGGAAUGUGU